GGAUGCCCAAGAGGACGGUCAGCUCAGCUGAUGGGACAGUGAGGGAAGAUCCCAAAAGGAGAUUGAUGUGGUUGUCAGCUAAACCUGCUCUUUCAGUAGUGGAAAUUGAAGCCCCAAAAGGUAGCAGGAAAAGAUAAAUCUUCAGGCAAAAAAGUGCAAACAAAAGAGAAAAGAGUAGGAAAGUGAAAACAAGCCAAAGUAGCUAAGAAUAAAGAUUUACCUGCAGAAAACAGAAAAACUAAAACUGAAGAGAGUCCAGCCUCUGAAGCAGGAGAGAAAGAAGCCCAG
rnacentral:lncRNA from 1 species